CCUCACUGUCUGCGUCACUUUGGAUAGCUGCUGACCUGGCUGCUCACCUUGCACCAAUGGCUUGCCUUCUUCUACCCACUAAAGCAAGCAGUAAACCAAAACUCAUCAACAUUAUAGUAUCUUCAUAGUGGCCCAUGUGGAAACAUGAACUUCUGGAACACCCAGGUCCAAAUCUGCUCUUGUCUACCUCUCAAGUCUCAAAGCCACUAGCUAUGAUUUAUUGUGUUUUCCCAUUGGAUAUCAGAG